UACGUAGGGGGCAAGCGUUAUCCGGAUUUACUGGGUGUAAAGGGAGCGUAGGUGGCAUGGCAAGCCAGAUGUGAAAGCCCGGGGCUCAACCCCGGGAUUGCAUUUGGAACUGCCAGGCUAGAGUGCAGGAGAGGUAAGUGGAAUUCCUAGUGUAGCGGUGAAAUGCGUAGAUAUUAGGAGGAACACCAGUGGCGAAGGCGGCUUACUGGACUGCAACUGACACUGAGGCUCGAAAGCGUGGGGAGCAAACAGG
rnacentral:rRNA from 1 species